GGAGAGGUGUCCGAGUCGGCCGAAGGAGCUCGCCUGCUAAGCGAGUAUACGGGCUUAAACCUGUAUCGAGAGUUCAAAUCUCUCCCUCUCCG
rnacentral:tRNA from 1 species